AAUAGAUACCCAGGUAGUCCACGCCGUAAACGAUGAGUGCUAAGUGUUGGGGGGUUUCCGCCCCUCAGUGCUGCAGCUAACGCAUUAAGCACUCCGCCUGGGGAGUACGGUCGCAAGACUGAAACUCAAAGGAAUUGACGGGGGCCCGCACAAGCGGUGGAGCAUGUGGUUUAAUUCGAAGCAACGCGAAGAACCUUACCAGGUCUUGACAUCCCGGCGACCACUAUGGAGACAUAGUUUCCCCUUCGGGGGCAACGGUGACAGGUGGUGCAUGGUUGUCGUCAGCUCGUGUCGUGAGAUGUUGGGUUAAGUCCCGCAACGAGCGCAACCCUUAUUCUUAGUUGCCAUCAUUCAGUUGGGCACUCUAAGGAGACUGCCGGUGAUAAACCGGAGGAAGGUGGGGAUGACGUCAAAUCAUUAUGCCCCUUAUGACCUGGGCUACACACGUGCUACAAUGGACGGUACAAACGGUUGCCAACCCGCGAGGGGGAGCUAAUCCGAUAAAACCGUUCUCAGUUCGGAUUGUAGGCUGCAACUCGCCUACA
rnacentral:rRNA from 1 species